rnacentral:pre_miRNA from 1 species
UAUAUACUCCCUCCAUCCGAAAAUACUUGUCAUCAAAAUGGAUAAAAGGGAUGUAUCUAGAUGUAUUUUAGUUUUAGAUACAUCCCUUUUUGUCCAUUUUGAUGACAAGUAUUUUUGGACGGAGGGAGUAUAAU